rnacentral:rRNA from 1 species
AUACGAGGGGUCCAAGCGUUGUUCGGAAUUACUGGGCGUAAAGCGGGUGUAGGCGGCUCGGUUAGUCGGAUGUGCAAGCCCAGGGCUCAACCCUGGAAGUGCAUCCGAUACUACCGAGCUUGAGUACGGGAGAGGGAAGUAGAAUUUCAGGUGUAGUGGUGAAAUACGUAGAUAUCUGAAGGAAUACCGGUUGCGAAGGCGGCUUCCUGACCCAGUACUGACGCUCAGACCCGAAAGCGUGGGGAGCAAACAGGAUUAGAAACCCUAGUAGUCC